rnacentral:rRNA from 1 species
UACAGAGAGUGCAAGCGUUAAUCGGAAUUACUGGGCGUAAAGCGUGCGCAGACGGUUGCGUAAGUCAGAUGUGAAAUCUCCGGGCUCAACCCGGAAACUGCCAUUGAUACUAUGAGUCUUGAAUGUUGUUGAGGUGGGCGGAACGGGUCAUGUAGCGGUGAAAUGCAUAGAUAUGACCCGGAACACCGAUUGCGAAGGCAGCCCACUAAGCAACCAUUGACGCUGAGGCACGAAAGCGUGGGGAUCAAACAGG